rnacentral:tRNA from 1 species
AGGAUUAUAAUUUAAAAAAAUAAUUAAAUUGCAAUUAAUUUUUAUUGAACAAACUCAAUUAAUCUUA